AUACAAUUUAGCGAAUAAUUAAAGACUCUAGUAUAGUAAUUAAUACAUGGAAAGAACCCAUUUGAAGCCAUGAUAUUAAAUAAUAAUUACUUAUGUUGACAUUUUUCAUAAUAUCUAUAAUAAUAUCACCACGGAUAAUACUUAUAUUUUUCUUAUUCAAAUGAUUUAAUAAUAAUUCUAAAUCAUAGAUAAAUAUAUAUAUCAUAAUUGGAAGAUCAAUAAACACAAAAUAAAGAUAAUAGGUACUACACUAUUUAUCAUAUGAGUAAGACGUAUUGAAUUACAGUUUUUGGUUAUACGACAUUUGGUGCGGGACAAUUGGGCGCGGACAUUUGAGUGCGGAAAAUUGGGUGCGAGACAUUUGGGUGCAAUGGCAAUUAGGUGCAGUACAUUUGGACGAACAUUUAUUAUUUAAUUAAAAUUGUAUUAAUACUAUAAUAGAAAAUCUUUUUUAGAAUAUUUUGCUUAAACUCGAUAAUAUAGGUAGUAUUAUAAAAUCUACAAAAUUUGUAUUAAUUUUAGUUACUAUCAAUAAUUUUUUUUAAGUGUAUAUAAAUAUUUGAUUAGAUAUAUUAAAGCUGU